rnacentral:rRNA from 1 species
GACGAACGCUGGCGGCGUGCCUAAUACAUGCAAGUUGAGCGCUGAAGGUUGGUACUUGUACCAACUGGAUGAGCAGCGAACGGGUGAGUAACGCGUGGGGAAUCUGCCUUUGAGCGGGGGACAACAUUUGGAAACGAAUGCUAAUACCGCAUAAAAACUUUAAACACAAGUUUUAAGUUUGAAAGAUGCAAUUGCAUCACUCAAAGAUGAUCCCGCGUUGUAUUAGCUAGUUGGUGAGGUAAAGGCUCACCAAGGCGAUGAUACAUAGCCGACCUGAGAGGGUGAUCGGCCACAUUGGGACUGAGACACGGCCCAAACUCCUACGGGAGGCAGCAGUAGGGAAUCUUCGGCAAUGGACGAAAGUCUGACCGAGCAACGCCGCGUAAGUGAAGAAGGUUUUCGGAUCGUAAAACUCUGUUGGUAGAGAAGAACGUUGGUGAGAGUGGAAAGCUCAUCAAGUGACGGUAACUACCCAGAAAGGGACGGCUAACUACGUGC